UGGUUAUGUGGCCUGCAGCACCUAUAAGAACAAGCUCAUCCUGCAUGCCUGCAUUCCAGCUUCUUAGACUCUACACAAGUGGACAGAGUAUCAGUGUUUGGCCACUCUUACAGACACCAACUUCUGUCAACUCACUGCUACUGAUCUGGCACCUCACUCCAGGAAGAGAGAGGGCUGCAAGCCUGUCAUCGUUUCCAGUGUGACUUUGCAUUCUUGGGAUAGCAUCAGAUUUUUCCCACAAAUAUUCAAAGAUUUAGAUGCAGUGACCGGAUGUGCUGCAGCUUUGUUAACUGUUUGGAAAACAUCUGUUUGUGAUGGUAUUUAAAAUUACACUUUAAGGUGACAGUUUCCAUGUAAUUUCAGUCGUUUUUCUAAACAAAAACAAUUUUUAAUUAACAUAUUUUUUAUUUAUUUUUAUCAGCACAUCAUUGGUCAAAGUUAAAAAGAGCCACAUGUUACACCAACAAUGAAUUUUUGACUCUGUUUGUGUCACCAGAUUUAACAAACAAUAUCAGACCUAUGAAAUAAGUAAUUGCACCAUUUUUGGAUAAAUGUGCAAUUAUAUUGUUUUGUAUUUUCAAUUGUUGAAUAAUUAUGUUGUAGAACAAACCCAAUCUGUUUAGCCAAACAACAUAACUUGUUUGGUUAAAUAGUGGAUUUGUAUAAUUUUAGUCUAUAAGUAUAGCAAGCUGAAUUCAUACAAACACACAGCUCUAAAUCUUGAAUUGUAGGAUGCACAAUAAUGAUAAUUUAAUUAUUAUGGACAUUUAAAUCAGAAUCUAUUGAACCAUUACACAUAUUCUUU